rnacentral:lncRNA from 1 species
AAAGGGGAUGGAUGAUACCCUUCUCUAGAGAUAGCAGCGGUGCAAAAAGAGAGAAUCCUCUCUCCUUCCUGAUGGCACUCAUCUGAUAAUGCACUAGCGAGGAUUCCCAACUUCCUUCUUCUGAAAAUCUAGCUUUCAAACACACAAAGAUCCCUAAUCUCUCUAUUUAAAAAGAAAUCGCUAAUCUCUGCAUUUUUAGAAAGAAAGAACCUAGUUACUAGUUUCUGUUCAUUUGUCGCACAUUUUCUGGGUUUGUAGAAGUUGAUGGAGCUGUUUGAAGUGCUGAAUCUGCCGAUUUCCGCUAGCAGUAGCCGAGCCCUUUCAUUGAUUGUUUGGUAUGUCAUUCCUUAGUUAUUUGUUGCCUCUAGGUAUGUAAGAUAUCCAUCAUUUUGUUCUCUUUGUUUAAAUUAAUGGAAGUGUUUGCUACUUAAUGUUUUCGAUUACUUAUUUAAUUUAAUCUAUUGUUACAUUAUAUGAAUCGAUGUUUAUAAUUAUCAUAUGUCUAAUGCAAAUUCACAUGUGAUUCUGUUGGUUUUCAUUAAAUGCAUGUCAUCUUUUUUGUGGGAUUUGCACAAUUUGUAGUUAUGUGUUUCUUUGCACUGGUUUGGGAAAAGCAUUUAUAAAAAUAAAGUAUAUUGUUAGUUGUUGUUGCUCCAACAAUAAAUCAUCUUUGUGAGGGUUGCAGUUCAUGCAUUUUAGAACCUUACUUGGACAGAAUUGUGAGUAAAUUAAUCGCCCUUAUCCAGAUAGGCAGUCUUAUAGCAAAAUUAUGCUCUAGACAAUUUAUAGUAUGUUGGACAAUGAAUUUAAUGAAGUGUUUAGCGUAGAUAUACAAUUGUAAUAUGCUUUUGAUUACGCAUUUGGGCCUAAAUCUACCGAAUUUAAAAUAAACAUUGUUCAGCCUUUUCUUAAUAUAAGACUUUGUAUUGUGUAAUACUUGUCUACAUUGCGGAUAAUAUGAAUCACUUGUAUUAGUUAGUAUUGUCUUUUGUUUGCUCAGUAUUUCCUUGAUUAAUGUGUUUAGCGUGCUUCAUGUUUCCAAAUUUUGUUUUUAAUAUUAAGUUAAAGUUAGAUACACUGUAUGCAAUGUUGCCUUUUAUUUAUGGAAGCAAUCUCUUUAAUGCUCAAACUUUGUAUCUGGAUCGUUAGCUUGAAGUUUGCCUUCGUAUGAUUUUUUUUCUUUUUGUAUUUGUACCCUUUUUGAAUAACUUGAAGCGUGCCAUAUUAAGCAAGAUAUAAUUUAUGUCCCUCAAAAGAUUAGUUCAAACAUCCUUUAAAAUUAGACUUGAGAUAUGCCAUAGUGCAAAAUUAGACAACCCAUGGCCUUCGGGUAAUUAAUACUAACUAUUUAGAAAUCGAGGUGUGCCAUCAGUUGAAUUUUUCAUGGCCCUCGCAAACUUGAAAGUGCGUAGUUGCUUUAGGCACUCUAUUUAAAUUAAUUUUCUUAAACUCGGGUGUGCAUUUCAUGUGACCCAAAUCCAAAUCUCAACAACGUUAAAUAAAAUAUGUCUCGGACUGCGGGUGCAUUUCAUGUGGCGUGAUCCAAAGACGCAUUUUAGAUGACGUUGAAAUCUUUCUUAAAAUAAUUGAAAGCGGAUUAAUAAGUUAAAAUAUACCAUAGGCUAAAACAUGUAUUAGAAUCAGAUAAUAGGUCAAUUAUGAUAGUUUAAGUGACCAUGCUAGAACCACGGAAUCCAGGGGUACUUGACACCUUCCCUCGGGUUAAUAGAAUUCCUUAUUCAGAAUUUCUGGUUCGUAGACUUCAAAAGGAAAGUCAAAUUUUUCCUCGAUUUGGGAUUUUAAAAUAAACCAGUGACUUGGGACACCAGCAAAUAAACCAUCCCAAGUGGCGACUCUGAACAAAAAUGAAUAAAUAAUCUCAUUUCGAAUAAUAUCACUUAAAUUGGAAAAACUCCCUUAUACCCUUCCGGGUUGUAGGAAAAAGGAGGUGUGACAACUUUGGCGACUCUGUUGGGGACAAGAACCCAGAACUUUGGGUUCAGGGUUCAGAAUUCGAGCUUAGAUGAAUUGUUAUAGUUGGCUUUAUUUAUUAUCUGAUUUUGUUUGGGCCUAAUGUACUAAAUGUUGCUUUUACCGCUUUGAUAUUCUGUGAACCGUAUAUAAACUGCUACGAAACCCUUCUUCUCUCUGAGUCUUCUAAAUCAUGGAGAAGGGUUCACUUCGUGUGACUUUUCUUCUGUCUAGAGUCUUAUCCCGUUUUAGAACGAGGUUCGGACAAGUUGCAAAGCCGGUGAAGCUUCUGUAUUCCCGGUACACUGCGCCCCCGGCUCGAGUUGUCCGCUCGGGUAAUCCAGGUCUAGAACAAUAAACCCAGGUUUUAAACCUAGUAUAACAAAGCCUCAUGCCGGAUCCCUAUUAGGAACGUUUGCUUGCAUCACGUGCAUUUGACUUUGGAGACUCAACACAGGGGUUGGCUCUGCUUAGGACAGGUAUACCCGAAAUGAAAAGACCAUCCUGAUGCAUCCUACUUGCUACUUGUGUACUUAUUUGCUUCGGAUUUGCAUGUUGACCGGCUUAUGGAUGGUUAGAGGAUAGUUGGAAAAGAAAAAUCAAAGUGAGGACUCAGGGAGAUAAUUACUUGUUUUGAAAAAUCAAUGUCCAAAAAAUAUACUGAAACUCUGCCAAAAUUCUGAAAACAAAAAUUUGUUUUUUUUUUAAAAAAAAUAAAAAUAUAUUUGGUUUUAUUUUCGUCAAAUCUGCCCGAACUACGCCAGUUUGAUUCUCACUGAAUUUGGGAUACGUAGGCAACCCCCAUCGGGUCCAACUUCCUUUUUGCAAAAAUAGCUCAAAAGGCACCAAAAUUUUAUUACUUUGUUGGAAAUAAGUAAGGUGAAGCCAUUCUUCUCGAAAAUAGUCGAAUGUCCCCAAAAGGACGCCAAAAGGCUAUUUUUGCAAGAACAACCACCUUUGGCCUCUUUUUUGGCAUUUUGGCCGAUUAGCAAGCACAACCUUAAAAUCGUUUCCCCGGAAGUGCUGAAAGGUCGUAUUUGCAAAGCCGAGUUUUAUUUUGAAAGAAAAAUUUGAAAAAAGAGAGAGAAAAAAACCUUGUUCACUUUGUUUUUAAGUCAAAUGAGUCUUGAUUUUGCUUAAUCACCUUAACAAAUGUGCAGAAUGAGCACGAGUCAAAGUUUGUCAAUAACAGUCAUGAACAAGAUCCCUUUAGAGUUGCAUAUAUGGUGGGAAGAUCUGGGUAAAUAAGAGCAAGAUAAGGUCAAUCUACAUUUGGGAGAUCUCACCGGGUUAUUGAAGAUCAGGCCUAGAGGAGACAUCAUAAAGGCAUUGGUUAUGUUUUGGGACCCAACUCAUAAUGUCUUGCAGUUCUCGGAUUUUGAACUCACACCAACCUUAAAAGAGAUAGCAGGUUAUAUGGGAAGUACUGAAGGUCUGAGGCAUAAGUAUCUGAUCGCUCCAAGAGCUGUUAACUCUCACAAAUUCAUGGAUUUGCUAAAAAUAAGCAAAGGAAUCCCGUACUCUUAGUUGGCAGACAGUUUUUUCACUCUAAGUUUCAUAUACCAGAGGUACGGGUAUGUAGGAGGAUUCGACAACCCGGAAAGCGGGGUUCGUAGCAAAGCGAACCGAGCAAAAUGGGAUGAGCAUAGACGUUUCGCCUUCAUGGUAGCUUUCUUAGGCCUCUUGGUGUUCCCCCGGAAAGAUGGGAAUAUCGAUCUAGGGGUGGCUGGAGUCGUCAAAGUCUUGAUUACCAAUGCCAAGAGCACCCUUGCCCCUAUGAUAGUGUCUGAGAUAUACCGAGCCCUCACAGCUUGUAAAGUUGGGGCAAAUUUCUUCGAGGGAUGCAAUUUGCUACUACAGAUGUGGAUGAUCGAACACCUAUGUCGCCGCCCUCAGUAUAUAAGUUAUGGGUCCACAGAGAAAAGUUGCAUUGAAGAGUUCGACACAAGGAUUUCAGGGUUCAAAUUACCAGAAGGGUUUGGAGAUUGGGUAUCCCGCCUUCGCUCCAUCACUGGGGGGAAAAUAGAAUGGACAUUGGGUUGGCUUCCUGUUGAAGAAAUUGUGUAUAUGCCCGCCACCGGUCCUUACUUCCUUCUAAUGGGUCUUCGAGGCAUUCAGCCUUACGCUCCGUACCGGGUGAUGAGACAGUUGGGAAAGUUCCAGGUGACGCACCCAGAUGAAGAUCUUAGUGUUUAUGCGGUCGAGGUUAGCUCCGACACCCAAUUUCAUGAAGAAACAGUUUGUUCUAUUUGGAACGAGUGCUAGUAUUUGACAGUGAACACUCGAGUGCAUGACCUACCUAUAAGCGAGGUCUCACCCGCUUACCUUGCCUAAUAUAGAAAGAAGAACACUGCAAGGGCCGAACCGGAAAGACCAGCCAAAAAUCCUAAUAUUCAGGAAUUCGUUGAGGCGUCGCAAGAACAAUGGGCUUGGUUGGCCAAGGAAAAUGAGUACAGGGCCACAACAGGAAAGCUAGAAAAGCAAGUCAGGGAUCUUCAGUUUGAGAAUGGUUUGCAGGCCACCGCAGAUGAGGGCGAUAAGAGAAAGUUAGCCAAAGAAAAUGACGCUCUUCGAGCCCAGAUUCGAGAAAUUAAAACAGCAGCUGAAAAUCCCGCCAGAAGUGCAAAGGAUGAAAAGCUUAUAAAGAACCUUAGGAAGAAGGUGGAUGAGUAUGGUUUUGAUUUGAACAAAGCAGAGGGUGAACUAGCAAGAGCUCGAACAAAAUUGGCUAAGAAUGUGGAAGAACGAGUGCUCCUGGUUAAACAGUUAAAAGAGAAAUACGACAAUGAUAUUGCAGGGUUGAAGAAAAGGGUCAUCACUGUUGAGAACAAAAUGAUCAAGCAGGUGAAAGACUUUAAGGCUGAAAGAGAACAAUUUUAUACAGCAAUGGCACAGUUAGAAAGAGAUUUGCAACAACUCCAAGAACAGAAUCAUGUAGCCGAACAAACUUUGGAAGCCAGGGCCCAGCAGAUUGGGAGUUUGUUGCAAGAAAAGGGUGUCAUAAGAGAGAGAGUCAGAAGGAUCGCCGACUACAUCGCGAUGAAGUGCAGUAGUUGUGAGGAUAUGACUAGAUCCAUGUUCUUUGCCACCGUGAUGACCUUUGUCCGCCAGAUAAUGGAAGAUCUCUACCACCUCCAAGGGGAUUUAGCACGUAGGCCCGUGGCGAGAUCGAAUGAUGUUCCGCGGGCCCCAGAAGCAGUUUUAGGCGUUGAUGUAUUCGUGAUUUUCCUUGGAGCCUGUGAGUAUGUUUUCGAGUCUGUAUUUUCGUUUUUUUAGAGUUUAUCAAUUCCUUUUUCUUAAGUCUAUUAGUUUUUAUGAUUAAAAUCGGUAGGAUGGAUCGUUGUAGUCAAAACGUUUAUUCUAUGAAAAAAUUUGAAAAUCCCAAAAUAUUUUAUUAUUUACUUUUAUACAUAUCCCCCAGAACUACGUUUGCUCUGAUUCAUGCGGGGUUAUGAUAUGUAGGCAAUCUCCAUAGGAUUUGAUCAUAACCAAGAAAAAAAGAGAAGAAAAAAAAAGAAAAGAAAAAAAGAAAAAAAAAGGAAAAACAAGAGAGAAAAGAAAAGAAAAAGAGAGAGAAAGCAAGAAACUGUGGGAAGGAAACAAUGGCAAAGCAAGAGGGAGAAAUAAGAGAAUAAAGAGCAACGAGAAAUCAAGCAAAGAAAGGCAUGAGUGAAAAAAAACGGAGAGAGAGGAAGAAGUUGCAAAUGGAAAUUUGGGAAAGCCGGGGUGACGCAAGCAACCGAUCAAAUGCAUAAUAGAAAUGGUUAACUGCUUAGGUGCAUUGCAUCCCCACUGUGCGGUUGUCUAUCUGUUAAAUACCCUAACGCUAACGGGAUGACCCCAUUUUGUUCCUUUUGAUAUCUUCAUAGCAGAAAGGUGGUUGGUUACCACGGAAAACAUUCAGAACAUCCCAUGGAGAAAGAGAAAUAGAAAAGAUGAUCCGCUGGGCAUUCCUGCUCAACACUCUCAGCCUCGACAUCGGCCCCAUGGAUAUCCUUGUGCACCAGACGACCCUCCCCAAUGUUACUUCUCUCCACAGGACCCCCAAAGUCGUACAUCACUUUCCCAGUACCCUGUCCACAAUGCACCACCAUAUGCUCCACACCCAGGAGGCCCGCGAUGGCCCAUACCACUUCCCCAAAUGUCUUACCCACCCCCUCAAACAUAUCAGCCACCUGCCCGCAAAAGGUUCCAACCGAGGCCAGAAUAUAAACUGAAAAGGCUACUAAAAAAAGAGAAGGCUCUCACCCCUAUUGGAGAAUCAUAUGCCAGUUUGUUUCAAAGGUUGAUGCAAUUGGACAUGUUGAAGCCGAUUCAGAUUAAAAUGCUGAACCCUCUGCCAAAGAAGUUUGAUUUUUCUCAAAGGUGCGCAUAUUGCUCCGAUGCCCCGGGUCACAGUACAGAAAAGUGUUGGCACCAGAAAAAAGCAAUUGAGAAGCUUAUUGAUGCAGGUGACAUUGCGUGCAAAAUCCAGAUGCAACAGACACUAGCCAGAGACCAUCACCUGUGCAUAAUGAGACGCAUAUGGUGGGUACGAUUAAUUUUGAAAAGGAAUAUGAGAAUUCUUCUAAGAUCCUCGGAGGUCCACGUGCUACGAAGCUUUCAGCUCUAUUAGAGGUUGAUCCUAAGAACGAGCAGGCACAUGGAACCCAAAAGCAAUUUGUUAAGAACAAUGUGAUGGAGACUUGUGAAGGUCCCGGUAUUAUUGAUGCAGAAGUCAGCGGCAAAGAUGUUAAGUUUGAUGAUUGGAAAGAUGCUCUUUUCUUAGUUAGCCAAGGGGAGUUUUGGUGGUUUAGUUUGUUGUCAUUUCUGUUGUCCGAUUUGUUUUCAGGGUUGUAAUCCGGAUAUUGUCUUCUGACUCAAACCCUUCUAUCCUUUUAUUUUGCCUAAUUUGUUUAGUCGUAGUAGCUCGUUUAGUGUUGUCUAGGUUUGUUCCAGGUUUGUAACCCCAGUUUAGUUUACUUGUUCUGUUGUUCAAGCCCUUUCACCAUCUGUCUAAUGCAAUUUUCUAUUUUCUGUCAUUUUUGUUUAGUUCUCUUUUCUUUUAAAAGUUCUUUUCCUGUUGACUCUAGUGACAUGACAUGCACGCAUAACUCCCAGCCUGGUCUUGAAAAGUCAGUUUAGUCAUGAAGCAAUGGAACAAUUUUGAAGAAGAUAGGGACAUUUGAGGGAAAUAAGUAAAGGCAUUUUAUAUUACUUCAAGCCCGAAUUGUGUGAAACUGGGGCAGAUAGAACAUAAAGAAACCCUAUUGAAAUGCAUCAUGACGCAUCGGGUUGAAUCUAAAGGCAAGUUUGCCCAAAUUAAUAGGGGUCGUUCGUGGUAAUGAGAGUAAGAGUGUUGUCCAAUGGUGUUUUGUAUUUAACAGAUUUUCACGACCCCAAUCCCGAUCAUGAUGGCGCCCAACACGAUGCUAGGCAAGCCCGACCAAUUACCACUCACAAUCCCUUCUUAUUGGAAUUCAUUACCAAUUUUCAGAAAUAGAUACCAAUUUAAUAUAAGUAGAAGUCUGAAAUAAAAUAUUGAAAUAUGCGAAAAGCCAUAAUGAAAUCUCUACAAAUGCCCAAUGAUCUGGUGUCACAAGUCUGAGCCUAUAAUACAAGGUUUCAACAGCCUAAUGUAGAAAUAUAUCUAAAAUGUGGAAUAGUAAAGAAAGAUAGAGGGAGAAAUCGGGUCUGCGGACGCCAUGCAGCUACCGCAAUAACUCCGAUGAAAAACUGAACGGCAGGAAAGCUCACUCUACACCUCAGGGACACCUGUACCUGCACACAUGGUGCAGGGAGUAAUGUGAGUACUCCGACCCACUGAGUAAUAACAAUAAAUGAUGGUUGACGGUAUGAAAUCACGUAAGGGCACUAAGCAGUUCUAUAUCAAAGUAGUAAAACCAUUUAAAGAGCGAGUAGUAAAUAAAAUUGAAUGAAACUCUUUGAACCAGGUGAAAACAGGUAGUUUGAUAGGCAUUAAUCCAGUAUAAAUCCUCUCCUCGAGCAUUUCUGUUCAUUUACUUAUUUCUUACCCUCAAUAUUCAAUUCAUAUACUUCUCACAAUAACCUAAAUCGAAACAUAUACAUAUACCGCUACGACAUGCAACCCGAUCCGUAUAUCGUUGUGGCGUACAACCCGAUCCAUAAUAAUAAUAAUAGUCAACUGCGCUCACUGGGGGUGUGUAGACUCCGGAGGGGCUCCUACAACCCAAACGCUAUAUUGCUGCAGCGUGUAUUCCAGUCCAUAUAUAUAUAUAUAUAUAUUUACAUAUUUGCUGCGGCGCGCAGCCCGGUCCAUAUAAGUAUUUGUUGCGGCGUGCAGGCCGAUCCAAUAUCAUAUAUAAUAUCCUCACUAUUGGGUCCUCAACCCCUCUCAGUCAUUAUAAUCACAGCCUCUCGGACACAAUAAUAUAAGGUAGGGAUCUCAGCCCACAUAUUUCUUUCAUUUAUGAUUAACAUUUCAUAACUCGGUUCAUAUCAUUUUUUUAAACAAUUAAAAACAUGACCGAGGAUAUGAUUUUUAGCAAAUAAGUGAGGAAAACCAGUCAAAAAUCCCAUAAGGGUUCUACAGGUCGGCACAAGGCUCAACAAGGGCACAGUAAGCUGGCUGAUUUUGGAUUUUCACCAGAAUGGGAUCAAUGAAAUUCUUGUCGGGAUGCUGUAUCAUAGAUGAAAGGAUGGCCAAUGCAUCAGCGAACUCAUUUUGGAUUCUGGAAACAUGCUGGAAUUCUGUCUUUGUGAACCUCUUUCUCAAUUCCUCUACGUUAUGCAGAUAGGGGAGUAUCUUGGAGUUCUUAGUUGCCCAUUCUUCUCGUACCUAAUGUAUAAGUAAGUCCGAAGCUCCAAUCACUAGUAGCUCUUGAAUGUUCAUGUCAAUGGCCAUUUUGAGCCCUAAUAUGCAGGCUUCAUACUCGGCCAUAUUGUUGGUGCAGGGUAACCUGAGUUUGGUAGACACUGGAUAAUGCUGACCAGUUUCUGAUAUUAAGAUUUAUCCUAUGCCAACUCCUUUGAAGUUUGCUACUCCAUCGAAGAACAUUCUCCAACCGUCAUAGGAUUCCGCAAUGUCUUCUCCUAUAAAUGAUACCUUUUCAUCAGGAAAAUACAUUUUCAGGGGUUCGUAUCCUCCAUCCAUGGGAUUUUCAGCAACGUGGUCUGCCAGUGCCUAUCCCUUGACCGCUUUCUGAGUUACGUAAACAAUAUUGAACUCACUCAAUAGGAUUUGCCACUUGGAUAGCUUGCCGGUAGGCAUGGUCUUCUGAAAGAUGUACUUCAAAGGAUCCAUCCUCGAUAUGAGAUAUGUAGUAUAGGUGAAGAAGUAAUGUCUUAGAUUCUGAGCUACCAAAGUCAAAGCACAACAUGUGCGUUCCAAUAGAGAAUACCGAGCCUCGUACAGGGUGAACUUUUUAUUGAGAUAAUAAAUGGCUUGCUCCUUCCUCCCCGUUUCAUCAUGCUACCCCAGAACGCAGUCGAAAGGUCUAUCUAACACUGUAAGGUAUAGCAAUAAGGGUGUACUUGGCUCGGUUGGGACUAAGAUUGGUGGUGUUGAUAGGUACUCCUUGAUUUCGUCGAAGGCCUUUUGGCAGUCAUCGGUCCAUUUGGUGGCCGCAUCCUUUUUUAAACUCUUAAAGAUUGACUCAUAGAUAACUGUAGAUUGUGCUAUGAAUUAGCUGAUGUAGUUAAGCCUUCCCAAGAAACUCAUCACAUCCUUCUUGUUCUUUGGCGGUGGUAGUUCUUGAAUGGAUUUGACUUUCGAUAGAUCCAGUUCUAUUCCUCGGCGGCUCAUAAUAAACCCAAGCAAUUUCCCAGUAGGAACCCCAAAUGCGCACUUUGUGGGGUUUAGUUUCAGGUUGUACCUCCGCAGUCUAUUGAAGAACUUCCUCAGAUCUUCUAUGUAGUUAGUGGCGUUCUUGGAUUUGAUAAUAACAUCAUCCACAUAUACCUCUAUCUCCUUGUGUAUCAUAUCAUGGGAAAUGGUAGUCAUGGCCCUCAUGUAGGUGGCCCUGCAUUCUUCAGGCCGAAUGGUAUUAUCUUGUAAUAGUACACUCCCUACGGCGUAAUGAAAGUCAUUUUCUCAGCAUCUUCCUCAUCCAUCCAGAUCUGAUGAUAACCAGCGAAGCAAUCCACGAAUGAUUGUAACUCAUGCUUGGCACAGUUGUAAAUCAGGAUGUGUAUAUUUGGCAAAGGGAAGUCGUCUUUCGGACUGGCCCGGUUGAGAUCCCGGUAGUCGACACAGACUCUGACAUUCCCAUCCUUCUUAGGUACUGGCACAAUGUUGGCUAACCAUGUCGGGUAUUCUACUACCCUGAGAACCUUAGCCUUGAUCUGCUUGGUGACUUCUUCCUUGACUUUCAAACUCAUAUCAGGCUUGAACUUGCUGAGUUUUUGCUUUACAGGUGAACACAUUGGAUCAGUUGGCAGUUUGUGAGCAACAAUAGAUGUAUUCAGACCAGUCAUGUCAUUAUACGACUAGGCGAAUAUGUCCUCAUACUCCUUUAGAAAUUUUGUGUAUUCUUUCUUUUCCGAUAGCGAUAGGUGAAUGUUGAUUUGUCUUUCCAUGAUGUUUUCUGCAUCUCCCAGGUUGACAAUCUCGGUCUCUUCCAAGUUGGACUUAAGUCUGUUCUUAAAGUUCUCAACUUCUUUGACAAUCUAGUCAGGUAUGUCAUCUUCCUCUGAAUCAAUGUCUGUUUGUUGUGUUGUCUCAUUAAAUGUCACAGUCAUUGGCUCAUCAAGAUAAGUAAUAGUAAUCUUGUAUUGGUAAAGCAAGGAAAGAAAACGAUAGCAAUAACAUUAAUUCACAAGAAAAAUCAGAAAUGCUUUUGAUAAAUUAAAUAACUGUCUUGAACAUCGAAGAUCUUAUUGCGGGAAUGUAAAAAUGGGAAAAGAAAAUCAUUUAGUAAAUAAAACAGUGAAUAAUGCUUGUUUUAGCCUUGCUACCCUGAAGCUCGUCACACUUUGGUUGUCUUGAUGGUCCAAAUCUUAAGAUGUGGCUCUCUGCUCACAGCCUGUAUGGAAGGGCCUUCCUCCCCCUCCUCCCCGAGAAUAAUACAACAGUCCAUAUCACUGUCCUCUAAAAACAAGUUCUUCAUUGCUGCAAAUGCUUCUUCUUCAUCUGACCCAUAAAUAAUGUCAGCCUAUUGGAAGGUUUGCUCCAGAUGCGGUAUUGGUUGCUCUAGUGGGUAGUAAGGACCGCGCUAUUAUGGAGACCAGUUAUUGAAUUCUUCCCAGGUGUAUUCAUAUCCCAAACCGAAGGUAGUGACAUGUUUCUUGAGUUUUAUGGGUUUAGAGAUUCCUUGGAGGUUCUUGCCGAGCCCUUUGCCAGGUUGGUACCCACUCCAACUCAGUAUAUUCUCGAUUUUGCUAUCCCACCAUUUAUCUUUGUCGAUAGCAUUGACCCGUUCAAUGUGGUGGUAAGUUUCUCCACCCAGCUUCCUUCUUCCCUCAGUCGUCGGAAUGGUCUGGCGACUGUAUAUAGGGUUGCUACCGUCACCGUGAAUGAUCACUUCCUGGUGAUUUCAUUCAAAUUUUACUUCCUGAUGCAGCGUUGAUGCUACGGCCCCAGUAGCAUGAAUCCAUGGCCGUCGCAGCAGCAAGUUGUAAGAUGAUGAUACAUCUAUCACCUGGAAAUUGACCUCGAACUAGGUUGGUCCCAUCUGCAAGUAUAGAAUAAUCACACCAAUGGUGGACGUCUGAGAUCUAUCGAAAGCUUUCACACUGAUUGCUCCAUCCUUUAUCUCAUGCAGCCCUUUACCCAAGAUCUUGAGUGUUACCAGCGGACAAAUGUUAAGAUUGGAACCUCCAUUGAUCAGGAUUUUGGUGAUGAAAUAAUCUUUGCAUUGCACGGUGAUAUGCAGUGUCUUAUUAUGCCCCAGCCCUUCAGAUGGCAGCUCGUCCUCAUGAAAGGUGAUCUUGUGGCUUUACAGAACUUGUCCUACCAUAUUAACCACUUCCCCGCUAGUGAUGUUACUUGGUACGUAUACUUCAUUCAGCACUUUUAACAAAGCAUUCUUAUGUGACUCAGAAUUUUGCAGCAAAGAGAGAAUGGAUAUUUGGGCUGGCGUUUUGUUAACUGGUCGAUGACCGAAUAUUCCUUGGUCUAUAUUUUCCUCCAAAGGUUGUCUGAACCAGUCUUAAUGAGGGGUGGCCGAUUAGAGACCUGCUUGCUUGAUUCAACUAGAUGUUCAGGGGUAUAGACUCUACCAGUUCUCGUCAUACCUUGUGCUGCGACAUCUUCUUCAAUCCUGACCUUACCUUUCCUUCUUGCCGCAGCUGUAUAGUCCCAUGUUACAACAUUUGUGUAGGAUGAUGGCACAGUUGACAUUGCCACUAAGAUCGACGCGGCUAUCCUUACUUUGAGUGGAACAACCUCAAAUGGUGCGGGUGCAUUUGCCGGAGACACAAUUUAACCUCAAUUGGUACCGACGUCUUUGCGGAUGGUGCUGCUUCAAACUCGAGAGGUACAGACAUAUUCACCUCAGCGUCCUCACACAGUUGGAUCUGGACUAUGAUUGGAUUGAGAGUAAUUGUUGGUUUCUUUGGGUUAUCACCUUCUACGAUCAACCCGAUUGACCCCUCGGGAUUCCAGUCAUCUUCUAUUUCAAUCAUGUGGAUGCCUCCACCUUUAUGGUAUGAUAGAGAGUUGUUACGGACAUUUGGAAUGGGUUCUUUUGCCACAAUGAUCUUGUUAUCAAUCAAGGAUUGUAUCUUGUCUUUCAAGGUGUAACAUUCAUCGAUGGCAUGCACUUUCAUGCCGGAGUGGUAUGCACAGGAUUUGUUUGGGUUAACCUACUGAGAAGGAUUCUCAGGAGUUGCAGUAGGGAUGGGGGUAACAUAACCAGGAGAUUUAAGCCUCUCAUACAGCUGGUCGAUGGGUUCAGCGAUGGCUGUAAAUUGUUUUGGAGGUCUACGGUCAAAAUUAGGUUGGGGUCUAGGGAAAUUUUGGCGUGCAGGGGGGGAUUGAUAAUGGGAUGGUUGAGCAUUAUAGGUUUGGUAGACAUGAGUAGGUUAGGAGUAUCUGGGUAAAGUAGGUUGAUAUGUAGGAGGUGGAGAUGACUGAUAGGUUGGUGGAAGAGCUUGGUAUGAAUGUUAUGGUGCUUGGUAAUUUGGGGUUGGCUGGUGUGUGAGUGGAGGUGUUAGGUAAGCUUGGUAUUUGAGGGGAGACUGGGUCCUUUGUGCAACCAUCACGGCCCCUACGUCCCUUUUCUUGGACACACCACCGGACUGUAAAGCCUUGUUUCUAGCUUGCAAGGCCUCAAAAUUUGUAACUAUACCAAUUUUAAUACCUUUUUCAAUUCUUUCACCUAAUUUAAUAACGUCGGAGAACUUGUAGUUCUCAAUCAUCAUCAGCCGUUCAUAGUACUGGGGGUCCUGAGCUCGAACAAAGAACUUGUUCAUUUGCUCCUUUUCUAAGGCAGGUCUAACCUUAGAAACUUCGGACCUCCAGCGAGUGGCAUACUCGCGAAACGUCUCUGUGGGCUUCUUCUUUAAUUUCUGGAUAUAGAACACGUCUGGUGCGUUCUUUGUGUUAAACCUAAAUCGGUCUAUGAAGUCAGAUUCCAUGCCUACUCAGCUUGACCACUUCUUGGGAUCUUGGCUAAUGUACCAAGAUAAUGCAUCUCCUUUCAAACUCCUUAUGAACAGCUUCAUGCGGAUCCUUUCAUCCUUCACUACUCCAACCAACUUGUCGCAAUAUGUCCUCAGAUGGACCCUUAGAUCACCCGUACUAUCAAAUAUUUCGAACUUAGGAGGUUUACACCCCUCAGGCAGUUCGACAUCAGGCUGUAUGCAAAGAUCCUCAUAGUUCAGUCCCUCAAUUCCUUUGCUUCCCUCAAUACCUUGAAUCCGGCUGGUCAAUUUCUUAAGUUUCUCGGUCAAGUUCCUAAUAAGCAGAUCCUUUUCAUCAGACUCAGGUGUGCUUGAGAUAGGUUAGGUAGAGUGUGGCACGGUUUCCACGUAGAUAGGAGUGUUAUGGUUGCCUGGUGUAUGGAUGUGGAAAUGGUCGUUUACAGAGUUCUAAGGUUUUGAGAUGAGUAGUGGAGUGUUGUUUGGAGUAUGGCAGGUGUUAUAUUGGUUGUUUGGUGGAGUAACAUGAUGAUGAGGAGUAGGAUGAUUCUAAUUUUUUUGGGAUAUUUUGAGGAGGUGUAGGGUUUUGAGUGUUGGGGAAGUUGAUAUCUGGGGUGCUGAGGGAAAAUGGCAGGCUUUCCAAAUUUCGAACUUGGUCGAGCUCUUCCUAGAAUUUCAACAGUUUCUGUUCAAGUUGUGAUACAUUCUCGUUAGGAACCCGAAUACCCUGGCCAUCAGUGGCCUCUACCCGUUCAGUCGUGUUCUCCUUCCUGAUGUUGUUCAAAUCUUCAAUCUUUCCUUUGUUCUUGCUUUUAACAGGAAUAAGAGGAGGAGUGGGUGGAGGGCCCCUGGAUCUUGUGAAAUAAGAUGAUGAUGCCAGAGUGCACGAAGUAACCUUUAGAGAGGGGGAUAAUAAAACAAAACUAAAAACAAAAGGUAAUCAAUUCAGUGAGGAUUAUGAAAAGGUAUUGCAAUAUUUAAAACACAUAGUGCGGGAAUGUAAAGCGGGUCCUAACUUGGGAACCUCUUUGUGCCCGAUGUAGGCCUAGCGAUAAAUUGAUUUGGAGAACGUAAAAUGCUAAAUGCCUCAUUUUAUGGAUAAAAAUAGACAAAUCCGAAAACGACAUUAAAUAGGAAAGAAAUAAAAAUCACUAAUGGCCAUUGGCCUUAUUACAUUCAUAAAGAGAAAAAGCAAAUUCCUAUCUAUUUGGUCCCAGAAGGACCUUCCCCAGAUUUGGCAUCCUUGGCUUCAUCGAACAGCUUCCCCAAUUCGUGAAGUCCCAGCAACAGGUAUGCUCUGGCCAGAUGUCCGCCUUCAAUCCCUUCAGCUUUUUGAUAGUCUUCAACCUUUUGCGAAAUUUCCCUUCUAGUUCUGCUAUGCCUAGCUCCAAGUAUCCUAGCCUUUUGUUGGCAUUGAUAGCCAUGUCUUUCCAUUCCUUAAUCAGCUUCUAGUUGGACUCUUGUAUCUCGCGGUGUUCGCUCUUGCAUUCAUGGAUCUUUUUGCGCAGCUGGUUGUACUUGACCUAUACCUCGGCCUUUUAUCUUUAAUUAUGUGACCUCGAACGAACCCUGGCUGGCCCAGACCAUCCCAAUUAUCUUCCAACUAACCCGGAUAGAAAGGAGUACAACCGACAUGAUAUCUGUGGCUCGAUGGUGUCUUUCCCCAUUACAAUCUUGUAGUGCUACAUGUGUUGAGCUUGGCACUUGUAGGGACUAUCAUCAUUUUGGAAGUUAGCUCAGAAAUCGCUCAUCUUGUCGACCCUAGGUAUGACUUGCUUUCUACCUACUUGCCUCACAACUCGAAAAGAGACGUAAGGGUAUGUUCCUCUUAGACCAAUCAGUAUCAGGAAAGGUGCAUCUUUGGAUCGGGCGAUGAACUCCUCUAUCGGAAACCACUCAAACAUCCAUUGAACCUAUGUUUCAGUCAGAUUAUCAAAUAGCUCAACCCAUCCUUUGGCAUUCUCAGGCUGAACGAACAUGUCAGGGAUAUAAUUCAUUCACUUUAGAUGGUGGAAAGCAAUGUGAUCAUCCCAGACCCUUCGCUGAAUUUCUUGCCGGUAUUCGCCCUUUUGGUGAUGUUCCAUGAACCAAAACUGAAGUAAUAUAUUGCAGUCUUCGAAGUGUCUCGCUCCUCGUUGACACUACUCUAAGGCUCGGUAUAUGUCUGUGAUGAUCAUGGGUACAAUUCUGAAUGUCUACCCAUCAAUCCCCUUCAUUAGGGUCUUGGUCACCAUAGCCAGUCUAGUAUGGAUUCUCCCUUUCUUCAUUGGAAACACGAUCAGACCCAGGAAGCAAAAGAUGAAGACGAAUACCCUACGAUGGAUAUGUCCCAAGGACGUGAUGGCAAACUCGUCAUGGUAGGUAUGGUAUGAUUUUCUGUGACUGUACCUUUCAUACAGGUAGUCAAAAGGGAUUUAUGAUUCCUUCAGGCAUACCAAUUCUGCAUUCUUCUUUAAACCCAUCAUUUUAAGGAAACCUUUGCAUGUGCAGUUCUCAGGAAUUAGCAAACCCGGAGUUUCCCACACUAGACCGACCAGUUCUCCUAUCUCCUCUAGCAAAGGUGUCAUUUCGAUGUCCCCAAAGCGGAACACGGCCCUUUCACAAUCCCAAAAUAACGUAGUUGCUUCUAUGAUCAUAUUGUUAGGAUGGAUCUCCAAGAGGGAUGGUAGAUUGCCCAGAUAUUUUUUGACGAGGGUUUUGUCACUAGAAUGUAAAUCUUCCCACCAACUUAGCAGUCCUGGGUGGAUAUUGGUGACUAUGCCGAAUCUAGGGACUUCGUGCCUCAUAUUUCUGCAAAACAAACAAGGUUAGGCCCUUACCCUCACCAAACUCGACUAUUUAACAUCAAUAAUUAGUAUGAAGCAUUUAGUUCUCCAAAUAAAUGCACUGAACGUGAUGAUGUUCGUUUGGAUUUAGGGAAACCCAGUGGACUUUUAGACAAGGCUAUCUUAAAGAAUCAUUAACAUAACUGACCCGACUAAGUUUGACCAUGAUGCAUGCAUAAUUUAAAUAGAGUAAGGUUUCUAUGUGGUUUUAGAUUGGUACCCUUGAGCGGAAAACUCAAGAGGGAAGACACAGAACUGUCGACUAGUUUUACCGCAAAUAAGCCUUUCCGAAUUUAGGGGUAAUGAUAUAGGAAGUGAGCAACCACUCAUCAAGCGUUGCUAUAGUAUUUGUUUGACAUGAGUGGAGUAUGAUGUUGAGCAUGAUUAUGCAAUAAUUAAAAGCAUGUUGACAUGUAUUUGCACGUUAAGAAAGCGAUAAAUACAGCAAUUUUAUAAUUUAAAGCAGUUAUAAAGGAAGAAAACAAGAAAGAUAUGUCAUUUUUGCUUUUGAAGAAGAAAUUAAUUGCUUAAAGAAAUUAAACAAGUAAUUGCACAUAGGGAGGGGUACAAAUUCACAAAAACAAUAUGAAAUGGUAAAAGCCUAAAUAUGCCCAGCAGAGUCGUCAUGCUGUCGCGCCCCCUUGUUCCUUCGCGGAAUCGGGUUUAUGAUAUUUUGGUAUGGGACAACUCACUCCUUUUGGGAAAUGGAGUUUGUAGUUUGAAGAGUCACCACCUAACAAUUUUAAGGUGCGUUAGGGCACCUAUAGGGUUUAUUUAUAACUACGUUUGUUAACCAGAAAUAGGGUAAGGGCUUGAAAUUAUCCUAAAGGGAAGGAGUUAGGCACCCCUCAGGAUCACUAGUGUCGUUCCCAGCCAGAUAAUAUUUUGUGAAUUUUUACAAGUAGCAAACAAAACAAGUAUGACUUAAAUAGUAGGGGAUUUAAGUUUAAAAAUACAAGUGUUUGAAAAGGACAAUUAAUAAAAGAAAAGCAAGAUUUUGAAAAAUAAUUACAAUCUAAGCAUGCUUAUGAAUGUAAAGAGGGGUGUCCUAGGUUUGUUUAUAAUAUGGAUUACAUCAAUGCAAUACCCGGUAUGACACUCCUCAAAGAGGGGCUAUACAUGGUAUUAAUGUACCGGUCAUCAUAUCCAUAUCUACCCUUUCCUACCCCGUGAAGAUAACUAAAGCGAGGGUUGGUCUCAACCCCUAUUGCAUGCUAUUACCCAUCCCUUCCUAUUAGUCCCGGAGGAAUUUAGGACUCCUAUCCUACAAAAGGAGGUUCUGGCAGACCCUCAAGUUUAAAGGCAAAAACACUAAGGCGGCAUAUAAUUAACAAGUAGGACUUCAAUUAAAGGGAGCAUGGAAUACAAACAAAAGGCUCAAAUAUAUCUCGACAUAUAGUGCACAUGAACAACAUGACUCAUACAAAGAUAAGGUCUGAAUUAAGAAUUCUAAAGUAUGGUAUCUAAGUGAUAAUAGCAUAACCAGAUUUAUUGCAUGACUCAGAAAAGAAGUCCGAAUCAGGUUUGCCUACUGAUUUUAAUAGGUUGAUAGUUAAACAAAGGCAGUUCUGGUUUUAUUUAAGCUAUUACAUAAGUCUUGCCUAGCAGUUAUUUCGAGUUAUUAAAAUAGUUUGGAGAUUGUUUUUACCUAAAACAUGUUGUUCUAAUUGAUACGAAUGCAGAGAUUGUUAUCAAUUUUAUUCAGAAAAAAACAUUAAAAUGUGAAAUUAUUACUUUAUUACCUUUUUAUGAAUAAGUAACUAACUAGGUGUUUUAAACAAAAUGCAAAUAGGAUCCUAGAACAUGAUAUCUAAUAUGCACAUGCAAAUGGCAGGAUUAUCAAAAAUAGAAUCCCUAAGGCAUGAUUUCUAAAUGCGCACAAGAGUUGCAGAAUUAUUGAGAUAGGACUUCUGAAAGUACAAGAGUAACAACUUUUAUGCCAAUGUUGUUAUUGUCCUAGGAGCAGAAUUUCUAAGUGAUAGACAUAAAACAUGGCUUAGUGAUGGAUGAGAUGCAGAAGCAAGAAACAUGAGACCUAAGAGCAUGAUUGCUAAUGCAUGUAUGAGUCUUAAGCAUGGUUUCUAUUGCACAAUUAGGAAUAUAACCCUAAUAACAUGUUGUCUACCCUUAACAACUAUAGCAUGCAUAUUUACCCUAUCCCUUUUCACUAGCCACCCAAAUACUUGUUUACAAAUGGUUAUUACAGACCAGCAUUGAAAUGAAUUACAUAAGUAAAAAUGAAAAAAAAUAAGAAUUUACACUAUAGGAAGCCUGAUUAAGACUUCCUCCCUAAGUUUUGUAAUAAACCACUUCAAGUGCCAAUAUUGUUCCAUAACCUUUCUCAUAUCUGGGUAUGUCAGAGUUCUCUAAGGACCUCAAGGGGUCCCGGGCAGUGCUCACACCCAGAUUGCAUAACCAAUACAGAGUAAAUGCAAUGUGAAAAGGCCAACUUUUAUGUGUCCAAGUUCAGAGGGAGCUCAAGGGUCCCAAGGCAAGGCUCACAUAAAAGGGGCAGAACCUAGUGGUCUAAGAGUAUAUGUGAGAGUGCUUGACAUAGAUUUAAAAGAGUUGAGUUGGAAAACAAUUUUGAAACAGCAUGUUUGAAAUAAGUUUGCAAGAUAACAGAAGAGUUGCUUAGGGAAAACAGUUUGGAAAGGAGGAGAGAAUAGGAGCAACAACAACUUGGAACAAGCCAACACACACAGGACAAGUUCAAAGAAUAAGAACAUUUAUAAGCAGGGGAGUAAGGGGUUGGGGACACAGAGAGCCCAAAUCAGAAACACAUAAACAUGGAUGAGAAGAGAAGCAUAUUGACCAGCAAUCACAAAGAACAAGUAGGGAGUGAUUGACCUUUAGAACACAAACUACUUCAAAGUGUUAACAAGGGAAUCAUGCUUGAAAUUAGAAUAGUAAUAAGACAAAGGGACAGGGUCUAAGAGUAAUCAUGCAGGGUUCUAUUACACACAAUUAGUCAUGAGUUAGUGUUAGUCAAGUGCAUUAGGAGACAUACUAGUUGAGGGACAUAAACUGGAACUCAAGUAGACAUGCUGAUUACAUUUGAACAAGAGAGGGCAAAACUUAAGCAUGCUGAAUAAAGCAGUAAACCAGACAGACAAUCAAACAUAUAAGUUAUUGAGUUAGUGCAGAAAAAGACAGGGAUUGACAAACAAUGGAGGACAUAGGGUUAAGUUUCAGAAUUUAACUAGUGACAUACCAGUUAAGGAAGCAAAGUGCAGAAAGGUAAAGCAAGUAGAGUUCCACAGUCUAGCCUUGGCUUUCAGCCGGCUAGACAAGCAGUGGCACAAGUAGUAGAGAAAGAAGAGAGAGUUUGAGUGUGUGUGGGUGUGUUCUAAACUGUGUUCGUGUGUUGAGAGGUAAAACAAGAGUGUAUAUAUGGAACUUUAGGAGUAGAACUAAUAAGGUAAAGAGAAUGAGAGUUCAAUCAAUUAAGGAUCAAUCAACCAAUCACAGAAUCAAAUUAUAUAGAGAAGUCCAGGAAAAAACCCCCUUUAAUUGGGGAACAGUUAAUUAAUAGUCAUAACAGGGUUCAAUUAAGGUAAUAAAUCAAAACCAUACCAUAUAGCGAGUUAGUAAAUCCCCAAACUACUGAUAACUAAUUAAAGCAAGUAUAACCAAUCAAGGUCACAAAUAAAGAAACAAGUAAAAUCCCAGCACACACUGAUUUUAAUGGGAUAGUCAUUCGAAUCAGUAAAAAAAUCUUAGAAUACUGAUUUUUAACAAGAAAGAUUGCUCAAAACCCUAAUAGAAAAUAAUCAUGCAAGGAUCCCGAAGAAUACUGAUUUUUAACAUGGAAAAUUGCUCAAACCCCAAAUAGAAUCAGUUGAUACAUUGGGUUGACAGAAAAAAUAAACAAAUAACGGAGAACAGGUGAAAGAAAAUUAGUGCAAUAGACAGAAACAUCCAGAAUUCAUGCAUAUAUGAGAGAAUCAUUCAAUAUAGUGAAGAAUACUUAGUUUAAACACCGAAAGUUAGAAAAUUUUUUGAGGAAAAUCUGAAAUGAACCCUUAUUUCAAAAAGAGUAAACAAAGUCGAAACAAUUAAUCAAACCAAGAGAUUUUAAAAGGAAAACACCUAAUGAUACUCGAAUAACUACAAAUCGAUAAAGAUCUGAGAAGAUUCGAACAAUAGUGAAACUAGGGUUUUCAGAAAAUAGUAGAGAUGAAGAAACAAUCGGUUAAAAUCUCAUGGAUAUACCUAGAUCUAAGACAGGUCUAAAGAAAAGUGGAAAAUCUCAAGAGUUAGGGUUUCAGAGAACCCAAAGAAGAUGAGAGAACCUUAGAACAUUACCGGUUUUAGCCAGAAAAGUCAUGGAUCUGACUUGAACAGACAUGGAUGGCCAGAAAAUGGCAUGAAAGACCAUAGAGAGGCUCUUGGAGGGUUUUGAACAAGAUGUAGACUAGAUCUCUUCGAUAUCCCUCCAUGAAAUCACAAAAACAAGAAACCAGGUUAUAUAAGAGACAAGUAUAUGUCUCGAACAACCAUGGGAAUCCAUGGAUCGAGUGAGGAUCGAAGGGAUUAAGGUUAAUUUUGGGUGGCGGCGGCUAGGGUUAGGACUAGGACUCAGAGAGACAGAGAGGAUUUGGGGAUUCUAGGGUGGCUUUUUUGGUAAGAAUGAAUUAUAUUAGGGGGUCGUUCAGGUUAAAAAUGGUAAGAAAUAACGUGGACCGUUGAUCUGGGAGAUCAACGGUCGAGAUUAGAAAUGGUAAGUGGGGUUCUGGGUUUAGGUAUGGAUUAAAAGGGUUUGGGUUGGGUUUUAAUUGUAAAAUUGGGUUGGGGAUUGGGGUUUUAUUUGGGCUACAAUUGAAAGCCAAUCUGGCUAUAUAUUAAAUAGCCAUUUUUUCUCUAUUUGAUUUAUAAAAAAUAGUAAAUAGUUUCUGAAAAAUAAUUUAAAGUGCUAAAAUGAUUUAUAAUUCACAAUUAACAAUUUAAAAUACAGGAUCCACUUUUAUGCAUAUAAAAUAUAAUUAAAUCUUAUAAGGGCUAAUAUUGCAAUUAUGUGCAAUUUAGCUUUAAAAAUACUAAAUGUAAUUGUAAAAAUAUAUAAAAAUUAACUUAGCCAUAUUUUGGUAUAAAUAUAGAAAUACAAUAGAUGACUUAUCAAAAUAAUAAUUUUGGAAAUAAUUAUUGGGGAUGUUAUGGAUAAAAAGGGAUAAAAUAAAUCUAUUUAAACCUUUAAAAUUAUGGAAAAUAUAAUAAAACCCUUGGACAUGCUUAUAUAUGCAUAUAUAUGCUAUUUUGAAGGUAUUUUGCAUAUUGAAAAUAUAUAGGAAAAAAUUGGGUAUCAACAGUUGAUAUGUAGCAACAAUAUUUUUUUAACCAAAAGGCAUUACCUUGUAGCAGUAUAUAUAAGUUUUUCAUCCUUGGGUACCAUGCAAAUUUGAUUAUAUCUAGAUGAACCGUAUAUGAAAGACAUCGCCUCAUAUCUAUUCAUGGCAUCAAUCAUGAGCUCCAGGAUGGGAAGAAGAAAUUCAUCCUUAGGACAAGCGUUAUUUAUGUCCUUAAAGUCAAAACAAACUCGAAUUUGACCAUUCUUCUUUCUUACGAGGAAGAUGCUUGAAAUCCAUGUAGGAUAUUUAACUUCACAUACAAAAUCACACUCAAUAAGUUUGUUAACUUCGAUUUCAAUCAAGGGAACCAGUUUAGGCCUAAAGCGACGUUGUGCUUGCUUCACGAAAUGAACACCUCGUUUGAUAGAAAAAUGAUGAACAACUACCUCGGGGUCUAAACCUGGCAUCUCUUUGUAACUCCAAGAAAAUACGUCUUUGAAUUCCUUAAGUAGAACAAUAUAUUUGCUUUCUUAAUUAUCAGUUAGAGAGGCACUUCCAUAUGUAGGCACUGGAUCUUCAACAUCUCUGAGAUUGACUUUUUUUAAUGUAUCAACAGUUGUCUUUACCCCUUCUUCAAGAUCAGGUGGUGCAUCUUUAGCGUCUUCAUCCUCUUGAGGAUCACCAUCAUUGAAAGAUAUGUGAUGGCAUAAAUGAAUAUCAAGCCACGUUUCCUCGACUUUCUCCCGAGAUGAAAGAUUUUGUUCAUCAUGAAUUGUGAUAUCAUAUGAUGACCCCACACUCUCUUCAUCCUCCUCACAUUAUUUAGUAUGGACUAUAGUAUGAGCCUUUGCUUUGAGAACCUUUCCACAUGAAACUACAAGUUUUGUCUCUAGCCUCAUUCUAGAAGGAACUAGACUUGGGAAAUUUGUGGUCAAAAUCUCCCUUUUAGCGAAGACAGGUGCUUGGAUCCUUUCUAUUUCUUCCAUGGCGCUUGUGUUCCUUCUUCAAUGGUCCUAACCUAUCAAACACCGAGGUACAUGGUUUUGUAUGUCGAUCAAACGUGAAGGCUUCUCAUUAAGUGGUGUAGUCACUUCUUUAGGCAUAAUGUAGUUACAACUUAGAGACAUAGAUGCCCCGAUCACGAGGUGUGAAAGGUUGAACAUGGAGGGCUUGAGGUAUGGCAGGGGUAGGCCAAAAAAAUAUUGGGGAGAGGUGGUUAGGUAGGACAUGUCGGUGCUUCACCUAACCGAGGACAUGACUAGUGAUAGUAAAGUGUGGAGGCCGAGGAUUAAGUUGGUGGGUUGAUAGGUAGUUGUGACUUUCUCCUAGGUUUACCAGUAGUACUAGUAGUAUUCUUGUUGUUGGUUGAAAGAUACUUUCUUUAGUUUGUUAGUGUAUCUGGUACUUAGCUACCACAUCCAUUAUUUUUUUUGAAAACUGCUACAGGAAUAUGUUGCUCCCUGAUUGUUACUAUUUGAUGCUACUUUUUCUCCCCUUUUUCCUUAUUGUCUUUUGUCUCCCUCUUCUUUCUUUAUUUCUUCCCCCUCUUUCUUCUUUUUCUUCCCUUUUCUUCCUUGCCAUCUUUUCUUGAGUCGGGGGUCUAUCGAAAAUAGCAUCUCUACCUCUCCAGGUAGGGGUAAGGUCUGCGUACACACUACCAUCUCCAGACCUCACCUGUGGGACUAUACUAGAUUUGUUGUUGUUGUUGUUGUAGUUACAACUUGUCCUUUUUAUGGAGAUACGGAUUGGCGGGGGUUGUUUGUAACCCAAACUUUCACAUGAUUGCUUCAAGGGGUACCCUAUGAUGAUCAUCUUUUGAGUAGGGUUUGAAGCUUUAGGUGGGAGCUUUCCCAACUUGGAUGGUUCAUUGGAAUCAUAUUCAGCUUUUGCUAACAACUUGUAGGCAUUUGGGUCAAAGCCCUCAUCUGUGCACUUUGCAGGAAGUGCUAGAUUUAGAAGUGAAUUGUGGUUUGAUGAUUUGACAAACCCUUUAAGCAACUUUGUAUAUGAUUUAAUUACAUCAAUUCGCUUGAUAUGAAGGGUCAAGUCUCCUAUAACAUUACUUUGUAGUUCAGAAGAUGGAUUUUCAACCAUCCUUGCCUUUUGACAGAGUGAAGAAUAGGAGUCACUUUCUUACUUGAAGAUGCCUCAUUUAUCUUGCUCCUAUCAUAGAGCACUUGAUCUUUUCAACCAUCAUAUUUUCCUUACUAGUUGUGACAUCAACCUUCUUUGCAACACUUUUGGUCAACAUCACAUCAUCAUGCUUAACCUCCUUUGAGACAUAAUUCUUUAAGUAAAAUUUUACAUCGACAAACUGUGAUUCUGCCUUGGUAAAUGGCUUAUCAUCAGCAAUUGUUUUCUUUUCCACUCCAUCUUUAAAGUACUUCAAACAUUGAUGGUAAGUGGAUGAAACCACUUUGUUCUCGUAUAUCCAUGGCCUUCCUAACAAUAUAUUAUAAGAGGUCGUUGCAUCAAUCACAUGCAUCCAUGCACUCGAACAUAUAUCUCACAUAUUUAUUUCCAAUUUGAUAGCCUUUAUAGCUCUUUGCCCCCCUUGAUUGAACCAUUGAAUCAUCAAAUGACUUUCACAUAGUUCAUCCAUCAGUAUACCGAGCUCUUUGACCAUACGAAUUGGGAGAAUAUUGAUGCAUGAUCCAUCAUCAAUCAAAAUUCUACUUAUUCUCUGCUCAAGCCCAAAUCUAACCAUAAACAGGGGAUGAUUAUAGUGUGUUUCACCAAGCAAAAUAUCAUCAUUAGUAAAUGUGAUUUUUGCAUCACUAGUGUCUAUUUCUUCAGAGAUAUGCUCAAUGAGUUUCUCAAACAAGGGAGGUGGUAGAAAUGAUGGAUCUUCCUUCUUUAUCUCUUCUUCAUCUAACUUGCAACGUGAGGCCUUUAUAUCUUCACAGGAAGUUUGCGUGCGUAACCAACUUGGUAGAAAUUCAUCCAAUGUCACUGGACGACGUAGCCUUUGAUACUGAUUCUCCUCCAUUUUUUUCUUCCAAUUCUUAUUUAUCAUUUUCUUCUUAAUUGUUUUCACCAUUUUCCACUAGUCAGUUGCUUAUUUGACUCUCUUUGUGAAUUUGACUUGUAGCGUCUUCGCCGAGUCACAAGAAUGCAACCUUCAUCAUCAAAUGAUUCACUUUUUUCUUGAGAUUUUUGCUCCAGUAUUACUUCAUGCACUAUANNNNNNNNNNNNNNNNNNNNNNNNNNNNNNNNNNNNNNNNNNNNNNNNNNNNNNNNNNNNNNNNNNNNNNNNNNNNNNNNNNNNNNNNNNNNNNNNNNNNNNNNNNNNNNNNNNNNNNNNNNNNNNNNNNNNNNNNNNNNNNNNNNNNNNNNNNNNNNNNNNNNNNNNNNNNNNNNNNNNNNNNNNNNNNNNNNNNNNNNNNNNNNNNNNNNNNNNNNNNNNNNNNNNNNNNNNNNNNNNNNNNNNNNNNNNNNNNNNNNNNNNNNNNNNNNNNNNACACCUCAUUUACUUCGACAAAAUUACAAAGAACAAUGGGAUCAAGUGAACCAAAAAUGACAGAGACUUGAUUCGAACUUUCCUUCUCAUCCUCAAGAAAGAUUUUUCCUUCAGUGACGAAGUCCAUGACUUUAUCCUUGAAGAUAAAUCACUUUUCAAUAGGCUGGCCAAUCAACCGAUGGUACAUACAAUAAUUUGGAUCUUUAGUCCUUCCGUCUUCAUCUGGCCACUUUAUUUAAGGUAUCUCAAUGAGUUUCAACUCAAGGAGUUCUUCAAAAAUUGCUGGAAUAUCAGAAUCCAAGAAUGGAUAUUCUUUCACUUGCAUUUCCUUUAAAGUUAACUUUUGGCCAGCUUUAUCUUGUAAAGACAUUGUAUUCACCCUUUUCUUCUUACUCACUUUUGUAGUGACCUUUAAUGAUGAGCCAUUAACAUUCAUUGAUUCCUUGCUCUCAGACUUUGGCAUAAACUUGCCUCAUUUCUUUAUUUCUUGUUUAUCCUUCCCUUUGCGAGGUUCAUAAACAGGUGGUCCUUGAUUUACACUUGAAGACAUGCUUAAUUCCAUAUCAUGAGAACAUGUAGCAAAUUCUUCAAAAUACUUAGUCUUGAUACCUUAUAAGAUGUAGUGAAGUCCCUAAUGCAUUCCUAGGAUACACAUUUCAAUUCCAGAAGCUUCACUAAGUCCAUAUUUGCAGUUGAGGCUUGCAUUCCUCCAUCGAUUGAUGAAAUCAACAACCGGUUCACUGUUCCAUUGGCGCAUAUUUGGGAGUUCAACCAUACUUACCAUGCACCUUGUGCUAUAGAAGCGAUUGAGAAAUUCAUGUUCAAGUUGCUCCUAGCUAUUGAUGAAACUAGCCUCGUGAUCAAUGUACCAAUCAAUAGCAUUUCCUUUUAAGGAACAGACAAACUUCUUGAAGAGAUAAACUCCAUAGGUUCCAUCAUUAUUACAAUUUCGACGAAGUGUGCAAUGUGUUGCUUUGGUUUUCUUUUACCAUCAAAUUUUUGAAAUUUUGGGGGAUGACAACCUGCAGGCAUCUUCAAACUAUCAAUUCUCGCAGUGUAUGCCUUUGCAUAUGAGAGAGAAGACUU